rnacentral:rRNA from 1 species
GACGAACGCUGGCGGCGUGCCUAAUACAUGCAAGUAGAACGCUGAAGGAGGAGCUUGCUCUUCUGGAUGAGUUGCGAACGGGUGAGUAACGCGUAGGUAACCUGCCUGGUAGCGGGGGAUAACUAUUGGAAACGAUAGCUAAUACCGCAUAACAGUAGAUGUUGCAUGACAUUUACUUAAAAGGUGCAAUUGCAUCACUACCAGAUGGACCUGCGUUGUAUUAGCUAGUUGGUGGGGUAACGGCUCACCAAGGCGACGAUACAUAGCCGACCUGAGAGGGUGAUCGGCCACACUGGGACUGAGACACGGCCCAGACUCCUACGGGAGGCAGCAGUAGGGAAUCUUCGGCAAUGGACGGAAGUCUGACCGAGCAACGCCGCGUGAGUGAAGAAGGGUUUCGGAUCGUAAAGCUCUGUUGUAAGAGAAGAACGAGUGUGAGAGUGGAAAGUUCACACUGUGACGGUAGCUUACCAGAAAGGGACGGCUAACUACGUG